AUUGAAUGCUGACAGCGUGGAUGAGGCAUGCAAGUCGUACGAAGUAGCAAUACUUAGUGGCGGAAGGGUUAGUAACACAUGGGUAAUCUACCUCUAACAAUGGGAUAACGGUUGGAAACGACCGCUAAUACCACAUGUGGUGAUCAUUAGGCAUCUAGAGAUCAUUAAAGCAGGGGACUCGCAAGAGCCUUGCGGUUGGAGAAGAGCCCAUGCGAUAUCAGCUAGUUGGUGAGGUAAUAGCUCACCAAGGCUAAGACGUCUAGGAGGAUUGAGAGAUCGACCUCCAACACUGGGACUGAGACACUGCCCAGACUCCUACGGGAGGCUGCAGUCGAGAAUCUUUCGCAAUGGGCGAAAGCCUGACGAAGCGACGCUGUGUGAGUGAUGAAGGCCUUCGGGUUGUAAAACUCUUUCGCUUGGGAACAAGAAAGGUCGAUUAAUACUCGGCCGAUUUGAGAGUACUAGGUAAAGAAGCACCGGCUAACUACGUGCCAGCAGCCGCCGUAA
rnacentral:rRNA from 1 species